rnacentral:rRNA from 1 species
UCUCCUACGGGAGGCAGCAGUGAGGAAUAUUGGUCAAUGGGAGAGAUCCUGAACCAGCCAAGCCGCGUGAGGGAAGACGGCCCCAUGGGUUGUAAACCUCUUUUGUCGGAGAACAAAACCCGGGACGUGUCCCGGACUGCGUGUAUCCGAAGAAAAAGCAUCGGCUAACUCCGUGCCAGCAGCCGCGGUAAUACGGAGGAUGCGAGCGUUAUCCGGAUUCAUUGGGCGUAAAGCGCGCGUAGGCGGCCUGUUAGGUCGGGGGUCAAAUACCGGGGCUCAACCCCGGUCCGCCCCCGAUACCGGCG